rnacentral:rRNA from 1 species
UACGUAGGGUGCAAGCGUUGUCCGGAAUUAUUGGGCGUAAAGAGCGUGUAGGCGGCCCGAUUAGUCCGCUGUGAAAGUCCAGGGCUCAACCCCGGAACUGCUUUACAUACUGGCGAGCUUGAGGGAUGCAGAGGUUUGUGGAAUUCCUGGUGUAACGGUGAAAUGUGUUGAUAUCAGGAGGAACACCCAUGGCGAAGGCAGCAAACUGGGCAUCAUCUGACGCUGAGGCGCGAAAGCGUGGGUAGCAAACAGG